UCUUUCCCUUUUUAUUUAUGUAGACUCAGAGUUGCUCUGCAAAUUGCACCGAGAAGAACUGCAGUAAUGUUUUACAUAAAAGAGGAAACAACUUCUCUUCCUCCAGUGUACAGACUCUCCCUUCCUCACCUCUCAGUGCUCACCUUUAGGACAGCAUAUAAAGGAACUGAAGAGUUUCAGAUUAGUUCAACCAACCACAUAAACCAUUCUGUUCCUACGCCUAGUGAUUCAUGGGGCCCACUCUAUGGGCUGACUGUAAUAAGAAGGAAGUGGGGGGGGGGAAUCUCUCAUCUACAUUUUAUUGUGGGGGUUCUUAACCUUUGGUAUUUCACAGCAGGUGUAUAAAUUUCUAAAGCUUCCUACAUACCUAAAGAGAGAGUAAAAACAGGCAAAGGGUCAGUAGCAGGGCAGGAGUAAGAUAAGUCUCAGGCCGGGUGUGGUGGCUCAAAGCCUGUAAUCCCAGCACUUUGGGAGGUCGAGGUGGGAGGAUCACUUGACCCCCCCCAGAGUUCAAGACCAGCAUGGGCAACAUGGUGAGACCUCGUUUCUAUAGAAAAAAAAAUUUUUUUAAAGUCAGGUAUGGUGGCACAUGCCAGUAGUCCCAGCUACUCAGGAGGCUGAGAAGGGAGGACUGCUUGAGCCUGGGAGGUCAAGGCUGCAGUGAGCUGUGACUGCACCACUGCACUGCAGCCUGGGUGACAAAGAUCCCAUCUCUAAAAUAAAGAUAGGUCACAGAAGAACAAAAGAAGAAACUGGGAAGAGGCUUUUGAAAAGCAUUUGAGAGCAGAGAGAAUAAAUAAAGCAAAG
rnacentral:lncRNA from 1 species